AUUGAACGCUGGCGGCAGGCCUAACACAUGCAAGUCGAACGGUAACAGGAAACAGCUUGCUGUUUCGCUGACGAGUGGCGGACGGGUGAGUAAUGUCUGGGAAACUGCCUGAUGGAGGGGGAUAACUACUGGAAACGGUAGCUAAUACCGCAUAACGUCGCAAGACCAAAGAGGGGGACCUUCGGGCCUCUUGCCAUCGGAUGUGCCCAGAUGGGAUUAGCUAGUAGGUGGGGUAACGGCUCACCUAGGCGACGAUCCCUAGCUGGUCUGAGAGGAUGACCAGCCACACUGGAACUGAGACACGGUCCAGACUCCUACGGGAGGCAGCAGUGGGGAAUAUUGCACAAUGGGCGCAAGCCUGAUGGAGCCAUGCCGCGUGUAUGAAGAAGGCCUUCGGGUUGUAAAGUACUUUCAGCGGGGAGGAAGGGAGGAAAGUUAAUACCUUUACUCAUUGACGUUACCCGCAGAAGAAGCACCGGCUAACUCCGUG
rnacentral:rRNA from 1 species